rnacentral:rRNA from 1 species
UACGGGGGGAGCAAGCGUUGUUCGGAUUUACUGGGCGUAAAGGGCGCAUAGGCGGUCACUACAAGUCAGUUGUGAAAUCUCUGGGCUUAACUCAGAACGGUCAACUGAUACUGUUGGACUAGAGUGCAGAAGGGGCAACUGGAAUUCUCGGUGUAGCGGUGAAAUUCGUAGAUAUUCGCAAGAACACCAGUGGCGAAGGCGGCUCACUGGCCCGAUACUGACGCUGAGGCACGAAAGCGUGGGGAGCAACAGGG